CCUACGGGGGGCUGCAGUGGGGAAUAUUGCACAAUGGGCGCAAGCCUGAUGCAGCCAUGCCGCGUGUGUGAAGAAGGCCUUCGGGUUGUAAAGCACUUUCAGCGGGGAGGAAGGCGUUAAGGUUAAUAACCUUGGCGAUUGACGUUACCCGCAGAAGAAGCACCGGCUAACUCCGUGCCAGCAGCCGCGGUAAUACGGAGGGUGCAAGCGUUAAUCGGAAUUACUGGGCGUAAAGCGCACGCAGGCGGUCUGUCAAGUCGGAUGUGAAAUCCCCGGGCUCAACCUGGGAACUGCAUUCGAAACUGGCAGGCUAGAGUCUUGUAGAGGGGGGUAGAAUUCCAGGUGUAGCGGUGAAAUGCGUAGAGAUCUGGAGGAAUACCGGUGGCGAAGGCGGCCCCCUGGACAAAGACUGACGCUCAGGUGCGAAAGCGUGGGGAGCAAACAGGAUUAGAUACCCUAGAGUC
rnacentral:rRNA from 1 species